AACGAACGCUGGCGGCAUGCCUAACACAUGCAAGUCGAACGAGACCUCCGGGUCUAGUUGCGCUCGGGUGCGUAACGCGUGGGAACCUGCACUUAGGUUCCGAAUACUUCCCCGUAAGGGGUGCUAAUACAGGAUAAUGUAUUCGGACAAAGGAUUUACGGCUUUUGGGUGGGCCCGCGUUGGAUUCGCGAGUUGGUAGUGUAAAAGCCGGCCAAGGCGUGGAUCCAUAGCUGGUCGGAGAGGAGGACCAGCCACACUGGGAAUGAGGCACGGCCCAGAAUCGUACGGGGGGGAGGGGAGUGGAAUAUUAGACGAGGAGCGAAAGCCUGAUCCAGCAAUGCCGGGUGAGUGAGGAAGGCCGUAGGAUUGUAAAGCUCUUUGACCCGGGAUGAUAAUGACAGUACCGGGAGAAUAAGCUCCGGCUAACUCCGUG
rnacentral:rRNA from 1 species